rnacentral:rRNA from 1 species
CCUACGUGAGGCAGCAGUGGGGAAUAUUGCGCAAUGGGCGAAAGCCUGACGCAGCGACGCCGCGUGAGGGAUGAAGGUCUUCGGAUCGUAAACCUCUGUCAGCAGGGAAGAACGGUCACUGUGCUAAUCAGCAGUGAAUUGAUGGUACCUGAGUAAGAAGCCCCGGCUAACUACGUGCCAGCAGCCGCGGUAAUACGUAGGGGGCAAGCGUUAUCCGGAUUUACUGGGUGUAAAGGGAGCGUAGACGGCAGUGCAAGUCUGGAGUGAAAGGCGGGGGCUCAACCCCCGGACUGCUCUGGAAACUGUACGGCUGGAGUGCAGGAGAGGUAAGUGGAAUUCCGAGUGUAGCGGUGAAAUGCGUAGAUAUUAGGAGGAACACCAGUGGCGAAGGCGGCUUACUGGACUGUAACUGACGUUGAGGCUCGAAAGCGUGGGGAGCAAACAGGAUUAGAUACCCGAGUAGUC